rnacentral:rRNA from 1 species
AGCGAACGCUGGCGGCAGGCCUAACACACGCAAGUCGAACGAAGUCUUCGGACUUAGUGGCGGACGGGUGAGUAACACGUGGGAACGUGCCUUUAGGUUCGGAAUAACUCAGGGAAACUUGUGCUAAUACCGAAUGUGCCCUUCGGGGGAAAGAUUUAUCGCCUUUAGAGCGGCCCGCGUCUGAUUAGCGAGUUGGUGAGGUAAUGGCUCACCAAGGCUACGAUCAGUAGCUGGUCUGAGAGGAUGACCAGCCACAUUGGGACUGAGACACGGCCCAAACUCCUACGGGAGGCAGCAGUGGGGAAUCUUGCGCAUGGGCGAAAGCCUGACGCAGCCAUGCCGCGUGGAUGAUGAAGGUCUUAGGAUUGUAAAAUCCUUUCACCGGUGAAGAUAAUGACUGUAGCCGGAGAAGAAGCCCCGGCUAACUUCGUGCCAGCAGCCGCCGUAACAC